AAUCAGAUGACAUUUUGAGUUUGACAUCAGUCGUGCAUGACGUGACAAAAAGAAAAAAAAAGUACCAACACAAAACGAAAAUUGCGAGAAAAAUUCUAAAAUAAUUUCUUCAAAUCUUCAACAAUGAAUUUCAAACUGUGCGUAUUUCUAUUUACACUGCUGACAGUAACAAAUGUCGAAGCAGCACAAGGCUACGAUUUCGGCGACUUUUUGGCAACAGUUUUAGGACUUGGAAUUGCUGGUAUUGGGAUUCUUGCAUGUUUAGGCAAAUAUGCGAGACAACAAGCCAGAAAUGAGUUCAUUUAAACUACUGACAUGCAAGCACUGAAAAUGGAAAUAUGUGAUGAAAUAACUUGUAACAAAACAAAUAAAAACCAAACUGUUCAAAUAAAUUUCGCAUUAAAUCAUGAUACGUUAAUUUGUAUGAAUGGUUAUGAAUUGUAGAGGGAAGUGUAUUUCUAAUUAUUAUCAUCAUUAUCAUUAUAAGGCUAUCCAAAUAUGUAGCAAUUGUAGAAUGUAAGUAUAUUUUUUGUAUAAGAGGAUCUAUUUUCAAACAAAAUAUACAUGGCUGCAUAGACUAAGGAGUAUUUUAUCAAGUAUCAUUAUAGUAUAUAGAAAACCUUUGAAUAUAAUAUCUUUGACUUGUUAUGUAAAUUACCUUUCAUUAGCUUCAUUGUUCAUGGAUGGUACAUACCUGAUGUUCUGUCUGAAAAUAGACAAAGCCCUACCUUCAAUAUGUGAUAAUAUAACUUCUAUUAUUAGAUACAUCUCCGAGAUUGGGCAGGCUGUAUUUUUAUCUUUAUUUUUGUAAAAUUUAAUCUCGAAUUUAGAAUUUAAAUUUUAUUAAAUAUUUGUUUAUGAUUUUCAAUAUGUAAGUCUUUUUAUUUAUAUGAUACCUUUAACAUCAUACACAAUUGCUUUGCUAGGUACACAAAAUAUUAUUGGAAGAGUUGCAGAAAUAACUACAUCAAAAAAUGUUUUGUAAAUAAUUUAUAAUAAAAGAAAUUUUCAUCAGUUUGCACCCACUCAGAGAACACAUUCAUGCAAUCUAUUGACAUAUUGUUUGUCAACAAUAAAAUUUAAUUCAAUUUGGUAUAACUUA